CUAUGAUCAGCUUUCUUCCACAACAAGUAGAGGGUUUUUCCAGACAGAUCACUGAGAAAUAUUGCACUGCACUCAUGUCAGCUUGGGUUCACCAGCCCCAGGCAGGGCCUUCAGCUGUCAGAAUGCAAAUAGAAAGAUGUGCCAUGUUCUGGAGACACUAUUUGCCCUUAGAAGCACACCACAGGGCAGGCAGCCUGAGCAAAGACUUCCCAUCAUCGUCUUCCACUUUGGAAAGAGAACUAGCCAAGCAACAUCUCGGUGAAGCACUGGGGCUUUCUGUGCUGGAUGAGGGGUGCAAGAGGAUCCCUGCUGUCUGCUGCAGGAGUGGCCAUCACAGAGGUAAGCAUUAUAAACCCUAAUUCACGUCUUGGCCUGGGCUCCGAGAUCUAGCUGUGCUCAGUCGAAUGUGGUCCGCUUUCAAAACUUUGGAGAUUCUGUCACACACCUUCCAUAGCAUUAAAAAAUACCAC